UUUUUCUUUUUGUUGCACAUAUUUUUUAAAAGUAUAGUUGAUUUACAAUGUUGUACCAAUUUCUUCUGUACAGCAAAGUGACCCAGUCAUACAUACACAUGGGUUCACAGGUUCUUUUUCUCUUAUUAUCUUCCAUUAUGUUCUAUCCCAAGAGACUGGAUACAGUUCUCUGUGCUAUGCUCUCGGACCUCAAUGCUUAUCCAUUCUAAAUAUAAUAGUUUGCAUCCUCUAGUGCCAAACUCCCAGUCCAUCAAACUCCCUCCCCCCUAUUUUUCCUUUAUUGAUUGUGCUAAGAAAACAUUACUGCAUCCAAGGUCAUAAAGAUUUACUCCUAUAUUUUCUUAUAAGGAAUUUUCUUUUCUUUUUUUGUCUUUGUGCCUCUUCUAGGGCCACUCCCGCGGCAUAUGGAGGUUCGAUCUCUGGUCUCACUCAGUGGGUUAAGGAUCCAACACUGCCGUGAGCUGUGGUGUAGGUUUCAGACAUGGCUCGAAUCUGACGUUGCUGUGGCUGUGGCAUAGGUCAGCUGGCUACAGCUCCGAUUUGACCUCUAGCCUGGGGACUUCACAUGCCAGGGAUGCGGUCCUAAAAAGACACACACGCAAAAAAACCCCAAAACCCCAAACGUGGUCUUCUGAAGACAGAGACUAUGACUAUUAAGAGGUGGAAUAUGGCAGCUCCUUUGCUAAUGCUGCUCUUACAGUAUCCAUAUUUCCAGCUCUAAUACAAUUGACUUCAUGUCUGUCUUUCACAUCACACUGACUUGAGGCAUGGACUCUUGCAUUUUCACCCAAGAAUGUGACACACACUGUGUACCCAGUAAAUACACUCAACUGCUGGGUGAUCCUGGCAAGUGAUUUAACCUCUCUGUUGAUUUAGUUUCCUCAUUCAUAAAACAGCAGUGAAAACAGUCCCUAUGUCACAGGGAUGAGAAGAUGUCUAUAAAGUGCUUACUAUAGCAUCUGGCACAUAUAAAGUGAUAUUAGUGGUACUAAUAUCAGCUGAUAUUGUUAUCACCAUUAUCAUCAUGAUUUUUAUUACUCUAUUCUCCUUCUAAAACCACCAGUGGAAACGAACAUCAGUCACUUAUUCACAUAUCACCACGCAUGUUCCCAAGUCCCAAGUAACUGAUGGUUACUUUUGUCUGCCAUUUUUUUUUUCAUGGUCCAGGCAUAUUUUUAAAAGACUAAGUCACUAGGAAGGACAUAUGGAAGUAGCGGGUCUGGGACAGAGAUUCUUAACCAUUCUGAACAAGAGAGAAACUGCAUCAGAAGCUCCCUGAGGCUUUUUCAAACCACACCCAUGGCACCUCCAACUCCACAAUCCAAAUGUAUCACUCUCUCUCUGCCCUGAAAGGGAGGUUUAUUUCUGCAGUUGAGAAUCACUGGCAAAGACAGUUGCUGUUGAUGAAGGUAUGUUGUGUUUGUGAACUAGCAGGUGGAAGCUAAAAAGAAAAAAAAAAAAAAAGUUGACAACCACUGUUGCCUAGGGCAACUUAUCACAUUUUGCAGGAUGUGGGUUUAGGGCAUGCUGUUCCAUCGUUUACCUCACUCUUUUCAGUCCCAGCUACUUUUAGGGAAAAAAAAAAAUGGGGGAGGGGAGAGGGGAAGAGAACAAAUAAGAGUAAGCAAUGGUAAUUUGAAGUUGUUUGUUUUUGUUGCUAGAGGGCUAAUAAAACAUUCUGGGUCUAAGUUUAAUUACGCAUUAAAAUCAGAUUUCAAGGACAGACCCCACAGUAAUAUAAAAUGUUUUCCCACACUUUUUUUCUUUAGCUUCUGUCAUAAAGCAUCUAAUAUUC
rnacentral:lncRNA from 9 species